CAUGGGAUGGUUUGUAAGUCGCUCUGGAUAAGAGCGUCUGCUAAAUGACUUAAA
rfam:Salmo salar isolate Sally breed double haploid chromosome ssa24, whole genome shotgun sequence.